GACGAACGCUGGCGGCGUGCCUAAUACAUGCAAGUCGAGCGAAGUUUUUCUGGUGCUUGCACCGGAAAAACUUAGCGGCGCACGGGUGAGUAACACGUAAAGAACCUGCCUCAUAGACUGGGACAACUAUUGGAAACGAUAACUAAUACCGGAUAACAGCAUUAACUGCAUGGUUGAUGUUUAAAAGUUGGUUUUGCUAACACUAUGAGAUGGCUUUGCGGUGCAUUAGCUAGUUGGUGGGGUAAAGGCCUACCAAGGCGACGAUGCAUAGCCGACCUGAGAGGGUGAUCGGCCACACUGGGACUGAGACACGGCCCAGACUCCUACGGGAGGCAGCAGUAGGGAAUCUUCCGCAAUGGGCGAAAGCCUGACGGAGCAACGCCGCGUGAGUGAAGAAGGAUUUCGGUUCGUAAAGCUCUGUUGUUAGGGAAGAAUGAUUGUGUAGUAACUAUACACAGUAGAGACGGUACCUAACCAGAAAGCCACGGCUAACUACGUG
rnacentral:rRNA from 1 species